rnacentral:rRNA from 1 species
UACGUAGGGCGCAAGCGUUGUCCGGAAUUAUUGGGCGUAAAGAGCUCGUAGGCGGCCUGUUGCGUCCGCUGUGAAAUCCCGGGGCUUAACCCCGGGCUUGCAGUGGAUACGGGCAGGCUGGAGGUAUGCAGGGGAGAACGGAAUUCCUGGUGUAGCGGUGAAAUGCGCAGAUAUCAGGAGGAACACCGGUGGCGAAGGCGGGUCUCUGGGCCGAUACUGACGCUGAGGAGCGAAAGCGUGGGGAGCGAACAGG